rnacentral:rRNA from 1 species
UACGGAGGGUGCAAGCGUUAUCCGGAUUUACUGGGUUUAAAGGGUGUGUAGGCGGACUUUUAAGUCAGCGGUGAAAUCUCCGGGCUCAACCCGGAAACUGCCAUUGAUACUAUUGGUCUUGAAUGUUGUUGAGGUGGGCGGAACGGGUCAUGUAGCGGUGAAAUGCAUAGAUAUGAUGUAGAACACCGAUUGCGAAGGCAGCUUACUAAACAAUCAUUGACGCUGAGGCACGAAAGCGUGGGGAUCAAACAGG